ACAGGUAAAAUGGCCGACUGUUUAGGCGGUAGGCUGUAGUCCUAUUUAUAGGGGUUUAAUUCCUCUUUUUACCA
rnacentral:tRNA from 1 species